CACUAGAUAGCUCAGUUGGUAGAGCACCUGAAUAAGAAAUUCAGGGGGGCAAUUUUCGAAUCUUGGUCUGGUGC
rnacentral:tRNA from 1 species